rnacentral:snRNA from 1 species
GUGCUCUGUUUGACAGCACACAGACCAAAAUUAGAAUGACACAAAGAUUACCAUAGUUCUUGCACAAGAGUGACACUCAAAUUCUUGAAGCAUUUUUUU